GCCCACUCUCUGUCCCUUUACAGUUUGUUCGCUGUCCAGGCAGCUGACCUGUAUGGGCAUCACCAACGAGCUCCUUUGUCUUGUGGCUUCAAUGUGGGUUAAGACAAUGGAGAGCCCCAGCAGGAGACCAGAGGGAGAAGGGCGGGAAAGGUCAGCCUGACACAUUUUUGUUGAAUCAAUUGACAAAAGAACUGACACCAGAUGGCCAAUCAACUCAAGAGAAAGAUUGCUUGGGUUGCUAUGAGGAAGAGGAGGAGUAAGGCCUGAUGUGGAAAGACCUUUGAGAAGAUGUUGAAAUGAGGCAGAGGAGGAGCUAGGCCUGAUGUGGAAAGACCCUUGAGAAGGCUCCUGCAGUGAUCCAGGUCCAGCUUUGAAGAAAAGUAUUUUUGUAUAAAUUUUGUGUAGCCCAAGUAUACAGUGUUGAUAAAAUCUACAGUAGUGUAGUCGUGUCCUGGGGCCUCACAUUCACUCACCACUCACUGACUCACCCAGAGCAACUGCCAGUCCUGCAAGUUCCAC
rnacentral:lncRNA from 1 species